rnacentral:rRNA from 1 species
AUUGAACGCUGGCGGCAUGCCUUACACAUGCAAGUCGAACGGCAGCGGGGGAGAAGCUUGCUUUUCCUGCCGGCGAGUGGCGAACGGGUGAGUAAUACAUCGGAACGUGCCCUGUAGUGGGGGAUAACUAGUCGAAAGAUUAGCUAAUACCGCAUACGACCUGAGGGUGAAAGUGGGGGACCGCAAGGCCUCAUGCUAUAGGAGCGGCCGAUGUCUGAGUAGCUAGUUGGUGGGGUAAAGGCCUACCAAGGCGACGAUCAGUAGCUGGUCUGAGAGGACGAUCAGCCACACUGGGACUGAGACGCGGCCCAGCCUCCUACGGGAGGCAGCAGUGGGGAAUUUUGGACAAUGGGCGAAAGCCUGAUCCAGCAAUGCCGCGUGUGUGAAGAAGGCCUUCGGGUCGUAAAGCACUUUUGUCCGGAAAGAAAUGGCUCUGGUUAAUACCUGGGGUCGAUGACGGUACCGGAAGAAUAAGGACCGGCUAACUACGUGCCAGCCGCCGCGGUAA